CUACGGGUGGCAGCAGUGGGGAAUAUUGCACAAUGGACGAAAGUCUGAUGCAGCAACGCCGCGUGGAGGAUGACACAUUUCGGUGCGUAAACUCCUUUUAUAUAGGAAGAUAAUGACGGUACUAUAUGAAUAAGCGCCGGCUAACUCCGUGCCAGCAGCCGCGGUAAUAUGGAGGGCGCAAGCGUUACUCGGAAUCACUGGGCGUAAAGAGCGUGUAGGCGGAUAGAUAAGUUGGGAGUGAAAUCCUAUGGCUCAACCAUAGAACUGCUUCCAAAACUGUCUAUCUAGAGUAUGGGAGAGGUAGAUGGAAUUUCUGGUGUAGGGGUAAAAUCCGUAGAGAUCAGAAGGAAUACCGAUUGCGAAGGCGAUCUACUGGAACAUUACUGACGCUGAGACGCGAAAGCGUGGGGAGCAAACAGGAUUAGAUACCCUAGUAGUC
rnacentral:rRNA from 1 species